rnacentral:lncRNA from 1 species
AAUAAUAAGAGGAAGGUCCAAGAGCCAUAACAUCCUAAUAAAAGGAAAAAAAUGGGUCUCGUAGUCCCAGCACAAGGGCAAAAUAUAUAUGCCCUUGUUGUGGAAAGAACCAUGAUAGCAGACCUAGCUAUAAGCUGACAAAUGGAUGUCUUAGAUGUAAUAGUACUCAACAUCAGAUCAAAGAGUGCCCUAUCAAUAAAGGGCAGAUCAGGACAAAAACUCAAGGAAAAGUAUAUGCCUUUAGAAAGAGAGAUGCUAAAGCCACCCAGGAUGUGAUCCAAGGUAUACUCACUAUCUCUAAUACCUUGGCAAAGGUUCUAAUAGAUCCAGGAUCUAUACAUUCUUUUGCUU